AAACCUUGACCCUAACGCCCAGACGUGUAAUAGAUACUGGUCUUCAAAAAGUGUUCUUUGUCCGGGGAUCUGUUGGGGAUAAUGGUGAUCUUGGCUCUCCCUCCAUCACACUUUUGACAGGCCUCUCCAGUCAGGUUUCCUCAAGCUGUAGGAAACCCCUUUUUCACGGAAACCAUAAGAAGCACCAACAAUGAAUUUGGAAAGAGCUUGGUUCUCCACAUCAUUCCUUGGCAUGACCAGCGUCGCACCAAAGUUUU